AGGUCAGGACACGGUAAGGAUUGACGGACUGAAGGCUCUUUCUCGAUUCCGUGGAAAGUGGUGCAUGGCCGUUUUUGGUUGGUGGAUCGAUCCGUCUGGUUAAUUCCGUUAACGAACGAGACCUCGGCACUCCGAAUAGCGCGGCGGACGUCGCGGCCUCCGGGCCGUCUUCCGCACGAGCUUCUUAGAGGGACCGUCCCCCGCCGGGGAAGGAGGUGCGAGGCAACGACAGGUCUGUGAUGCCCUUAGAUGUUCUGGGCCGCACGCGCAUUACACUGACGCGUCCAACGGGUGACUCCCGACCCGAAGGGGCCGGGGAAUCCGCAAGGCGCGUCGUGAUGGGGAUUGAACGUUGCAAUUGUUGUUCACGAACGAGGAAUUCCUAGUAAUCGUAGCUCAUCAGGCUGCGAUGAUUACGUCCCUGCCCCUUGUACACACCGCCCGUCGCUGCUAC
rnacentral:rRNA from 1 species